GUUCGCUGCCGCAUAGGCAGCUUAGAAG
rnacentral:other from 1 species